rnacentral:rRNA from 1 species
UACAGAGGGUGCGAGCGUUAAUCGGAAUUACUGGGCGUAAAGAGCUCGUAGGCGGUCUGUCGCGUCGGCUGUGAAAACCCGAGGCUCAACCUCGGGCCUGCAGUCGAUACGGGCAAACUAGAGUACUGCAGGGGAGACUGGAAUUCCUGGUGUAGCGGUGAAAUGCGCAGAUAUCAGGAGGAACACCGGUGGCGAAGGCGGGUCUCUGGGCAGUAACUGACGCUGAGGAGCGAAAGCGUGGGGAGCGAACAGG